rnacentral:rRNA from 1 species
GAUGAACGCUAGCGGCAGGCCUAAUACAUGCAAGUCGAACGGGAUCUGAGGGUAGCUUGCUACCCGAUUUGAGAGUGGCGCACGGGUGCGUAACGCGUGAGCAACCUACCCAUAUCAGGGGGAUAGCCCGGAGAAAUUCGGAUUAACACCGCAUAAGAAUGUAUUAACACAUGUUAAAGCAUUUAAAUAUUUAUAGGAUAUGGAUGGGCUCGCGUGACAUUAGCUAGUUGGUGAGGUAACGGCGCACCAAGGCGACGAUGUCUAGGGGCUCUGAGAGGAGAAUCCCCCACACUGGUACUGAGACACGGACCAGACUCCUACGGGGGGCAGCAGUAAGGAAUAUUGGUCAAUGGGCGGAAGCCUGAACCAGCCAUGCCGCGUGCAGGUCGACUGCCCUAUGGGUUGUAAACUGCUUUUGUCGAGGAAUAAACCUAUCUACGUGUAGAUAGUUGAACGUACUCGAAGAAUAAGGAUCGGCUAACUCCGUGCCAGCCGCCGCCGUAA